rnacentral:rRNA from 1 species
GACAGAGGGUGCAAACGUUGCUCGGAAUUACUGGGCGUAAAGGGCGUGUAGGCGGUCAGGUUAGUGAGAUGUGAAACGCCCCGGCUCACCCGGGGACCUGCAUCUCAAACUGCCUGGCUUGAGUAUGGGAGAGGAUGAGGGAAUUCCUGGUGUAGCGGUGAAAUGCGCAGAUAUCAGGAGGAACACCGGUGGCGAAGGCGGGUCUCUGGGCCGAUACUGACGCUGAGGAGCGAAAGCGUGGGGAGCGAACAGG